rnacentral:rRNA from 1 species
GAAAAGAACCCCGGGAGGGGAGUGAAAUAGAACCUGAAACCCUGCACUUACAAGCUGUGGAAGCACAUUUCUUGUGUGACCGCGUACUUUUUGUAGAACGGGCCAACGAGUUACGUUAAGUAGCAAGGUUAAGCACUUAAGGUGCGGAGCCGUAGCGAAAGCGAGUUUUAACUGAGCGUUCAGUUACUUGACGUAGACCCGAAACCGGGCGACCUACCCAUGAGCAGGAUGAAGCGAAAGUAAAAUUUCGUGGAGGUCCGAACCCACGAGCGUUGAAAAGCUCGGGGAUGACUUGUGGGUAGCGGUGAAAUUCCAAUCGAGCCCGGAGAUAGCUGGUUCUCCCCGAAAUAGCUUUAGGGCUAGCCUCAAGGUGAGAGAUACGGAGGUAGAGCACUGAAUGUCCUAGGGGGUAUUGCACCUACCGAAGACUAUCAAACUCCGAAUGCCGUCAUCUUAUACUUGGGAGUCAGACUGUGGGUGAUAAGAUUCAUAGUCGAAAGGGCAACAGCCCAGAUCGUCAGCUAAGGUCCCUAAAUGUAAGUUAAGUGGUAAAGGAUGUGGGAUUGCACAGACAACCAGGAUGUUGGCUUAGAAGCAGCCACUCAUUCAAAGAGUGCGUAAUAGCUCACUGGUCGAGUGAUCCUGCGCCGAAGAUUUCCGGGGCUAAAACUUACUACCGAAGCUACGGCAUCAGUAAUGAUGGGUAGGGGAGCUUCCCAUACGGGUUGAAGCAUGACCGUAAGGACAUGUGGACAGUAUGGGAGUGAGAAUGUUGGCAUGAGUAGCGAGAUGUGGGUGAGAAUCCCACAGGCCGUAAACCCAAGGUUUCCAGGGGAAGGUUCGUCCGCCCUGGGUUAGUCGGGACCUAAGCUGAGGCCGAAAGGCGUAGGUGAUGGACAACAGGUUGAUAUUCCUGUACUACCGAUAACCGUUUGAGAGAAGGGAUGACACAGUAGGAUAAGCUAAGCACACUGUUGGUUAUGUGUGCCCAAGCAUUGAGGCAGUCAAAGUAGGCAAAUCCGCUUUGAUAAUGCUGGGAUGUGAUGGGGAGCGAAAUUUAGUAGCGAAGUAGCUGAUUUCACACUGUCAAGAAAAGUCUCUAUCGAGGUUAAAGGUACCCGUACCGCAAACCGACACAGGUGGGUGAGGAGAGUAUCCUAAGGCCAGCGAGAGAACUGUUGUUAAGGAACUCGGCAAAAUGACCCCGUAACUUAGGGAUAAGGGGUGCCACCAUCAGGUGGCCGCAGAGAAUAGGCCCAAGCGACUGUUUACCAAAAACAUAGGUUUCUGCUAAGUCGCAAGACGAUGUAUAGGAGCUGACGCCUGCCCGGUGCUGGAAGGUUAAGGGGAUCUGUUAGAGCAAUCGAAGCAGUGAACUUAAGCCCCAGUAAACGGCGGCCGUAACUAUAACGGUCCUAAGGUAGCGAAAUUCCUUGUCGGGUAAGUUCCGACCCGCACGAAAGGCGUAACGAUUUGGGCACUGUCUCAACAACAGACUCGGUGAAAUUGUAAUUCCGGUGAAGAUGCCGGAUACCUGCGACAGGACGGAAAGACCCCAUGGAGCUUUACUGUAGCUUGACAUUGGGUCUUGGUACUACAUGUACAGGAUAGGUGGGAGGCUUUGAAACCAGGACGCCAGUUUUGGCGGAGCCAUCCUUGGGAUACCACCCUUGUAGUACUGGGACUCUAACCAUAGGCCAUGAAUCUGGUCUUGGGACACUGUCAGGUGGGCAGUUUGACUGGGGCGGUCGCCUCCCAAAAGG